UACGUAGGGCGCAAGCGUUAUCCGGAAUUAUUGGGCGUAAAGAGCUCGUAGGCGGCCUGUUGCGUCGGUUGUGAAAGCCCGGGGCUUAACCCCGGGUCUGCAGUCGAUACGGGCAGGCUAGAGUUCGGUAGGGGAGAUCGGAAUUCCUGGUGUAGCGGUGAAAUGCGCAGAUAUCAGGAGGAACACCGGUGGCGAAGGCGGAUCUCUGGGCCGAUACUGACGCUGAGGAGCGAAAGCGUGGGGAGCGAACAGG
rnacentral:rRNA from 1 species